AAAGUACAGAUGUUUUGGGACCCCUGUCCCUUUAUCAAGGGCUUUUAUCAUUGAUAAAGGGACAGGGGUCCCGAAACAUCUGUACUUU